CCGCUGAAAGCUGAGGCCCGAAGGACUAAGACACCCAGCCUCCCUGAAGAGAAAAGGAGGGAUGGAUGGAAAUUGAGGCGAGAGAGAGACUGCUUUUCAAU